CAAAUGAUCAUUGCAUCUUAUGUCAGUGGCACUGCGGCAAACAGAACAGUCAUGCCAACUAUUAUGUACAUUUUACUUACACUUCCUCGUUACACGUCCUGCAACAAGGACUCGCACAUGUGCUAACUACCGAAACAAUGUCUGCCUGCCUCUGCAUGUGUGUCUGUGUGUGUGCUACUGUGAGUGUGUAAGUGUGUGAGUGGGGGAAAAGCCGGUGGCAACAACAAUACCGGCGAUGACGAUAACGAUUUGCAGUUACAUGUGUUUUUCACCAUUUCCCGAACGAGUCUCGAUUUUGGGCUGCCUGACACAUUGACAGCACUGAACGAGAACGACGGACAAGUAAUGCUGGCUCGGCUAACAGAUACCCUGCACUUGACAAUUGAUAUAAAGAUGGAUGUAUUACUAUCUACAGGUGAUUUCAAGUCGUGGUAAAAAGCUCAUUGCCUUGCUGGUUAUAUGAAAAUAUUAUAGUUGGUACUUUUAGCUGGGAGUCCCAAUGAAUUCCAACACAUACAAUCUUAACCAAAGAGGUAAAGGGUAAAGGGAGUGAGUGAGUUGGCGAUGUGAGUGAGUGGGAAAGCAAACGCUGGCAACUUUACGAUAGCGUUAAAUUAGACAUCAACUUGGCAAAGUACACACACAGUGACACACACUUGCAGGGCCACAAACAACAACAUUGAUAGCUCGUCUGAUGCCGUUGGCCCAAGCUCAUCAAAGGCGCUAUGCCAAGUACACUGCAAUUACAGGAUGUAUUAAUUGGGACCUAUUUUCUCGCAGUGCACGCUGGCAUGCGGUGGCACAGAGGCAGGAGCCAGCAGUUCGCUAUCGCUAUCGCCAUCGCAGCGCGUCAUGUUGUUCAACGCCUUGCAGCUUGCUGCAGUCGACAACGUUGCAGCAACACACAGUGGGCGUGGCCCUCCGCCCACGACGACAACGGCCACGACGGGCGGCACAUGUUAAAGGCCGAAGGGCGGUUGCAGAGUGGGCGUCAUGCGUCUGGCCACCACGCCCACCAUGCUCGUUUACAUGACGCAAUUGCCUGGCAUUCAUAAGCCAUUAUCAGUGCCAAGUCAUCGGGCAAGUCUUAGAGCAAACAAUGCAGCUGCCAUCCAUCAGCCGACUUUGGCCAUAACUACUGUUCCACGGACUUGUGACUUGUGACUUGUGUGGGCCAUAGCUUGUGGUGCAUAGAGCCAUUGCAAUUGCCAUCGCCACUGCUUGCACAGUCUUAUCAUUUCCAGGACGACACAGAUCUCUCGCCAAGAUGUUUGACUUGCGGCAGUUUAUGGCUUUAUAUAUAGUACGGCUGGUAUUCUGGUAUUCUGAUAUUCUGAUAUUCCGUUCCCAUUCCGGUCCCAUCAAAUUGGCAGCCCACGCAUUCGUACAACUUCAGAGCCUGCAACAAUUUUCAAAUAGCACACAGUAGACCGGAAAUAAACGUUUAGUGUGGGACAAAACA